rnacentral:rRNA from 1 species
AGAGUUUGAUCCUGGCUCAGAAUCAACGCUGGCGGCGUGCCUAACACAUGCAAGCCGAACGCGAAAGUCCCGCAAGGGGCGAGUAGAGUGGCAAACGGGUGAGUAACGCGUGGGCGACCUACCUUCGAGUGGGGGAUAACCUUCCGAAAGGAGGGCUAAUACCGCAUGACAUCCCGUGUUUGGAUACACGGACAUCAAAGUCGGGGAUCGCAAGACCUGACGCUUGGAGAGGGGCCUGCGUCCGAUUAGCUAGUUGGUGGGGUAACGGCCCACCAAGGCUUCGAUCGGUAUCCGGCCUGAGAGGGCGGACGGACACACUGGGACUGAGACACGGCCCAGACUCCUACGGGAGGCAGCAGUAGGGAAUUGUUCGCAAUGGGCGCAAGCCUGACGACGCAACGCCGCGUGGAGGAUGAAGACCUUCGGGUCGUAAACUCCUUUCGACCGAGAUGAAUACCCACCGACCUAAUACGUUGGUGGGCUGACA